rnacentral:lncRNA from 1 species
AGCCGGGGCUGGGUGGCUGGACGGUGAGGAGGUGGGGAAGCAGCCAGCACGGGUGGGAGCCUGAACAGAGCGGGGCACCUGCUAAGGGGACAAAGGCUUCCAGCCAUCGGGCAGCACAUCAGCGAUGUUGCGAAAUCAAAGGUGCUGCCGUUCACAUGCAGGAUGUGAUUGGAUGGAGGGAGGGUAUGACCCUUAGCUUCAGGCGUGAUCGUGGCCUGGUGGCUGCGUGAGAAGGCGCCCACCUUUCUGAGCGACGCGUACUUGGAUGGGGAAGGACGAAAUGAUGCCGUGACCGAAGUGCCUUAAAGCCUGGCUGCAAAGGGAUCGGACACCGGGCGACGCGUAUGCGGGGGUUUACUGUGCUCUUCUCGCAGCUACUAUGUUUGGAGAUUCUCAUAAUAAAUGCUUUCGAACUGGAUACUCUGUGUUUUAGGAAAGGGUGUGCGUGUUCCCUGCCGAGGAAGAGGCAGAGCGAGCCCGCGGGAGCGGGGAGGGAUCGGUGGAUUGGAGGCUGAUUUUGGGUGUCUGUGUAGGAGCAUCCCUGAGUGUGGGGGGGAGGCUGGGGAGAAAGGAAAUGGGACUUAAAACUGGCUCAUAACCGUUUUUGGGGGGGCGGGGUGUCUGGGAACCUUUAACAACCAAAUGAAAACAUCAUGGACACCCUCCACAUAAACAAGAAAAAUUUACACAAAUGCAACCUCAGGGGUUCGAGGAUUCCCUAAAGCCCAUCGCACCUCCCUGGGUAAGAGCUCCUAAGUCAGUGCACGGUCCUCCAUUUCUAAGACGUAAAGAGACUCUUUCUGUGCCUUUUCUAGGUGCAGUGGAUACGUAAAAAAGCAGCGGGGCAAGAAGAAACAAACCUUUUCCAAGACCGGCAAAAUGCUGAACCACCGGCGCUUUGGGGCUUUGAGGCUCCGGGCAAAUGACUACAAGACGCGGAGCCUCGGUUUUCCCACCAGGAAAAUGCACGGUCGCCUUGCCUCGCCUGCCAGGUGGCUCUGAGGCUGAAACAAAAUGAUGGAAGCUGAAUCAUUGCAAACACGGAGAGGGUUUCGCCUCAUGCCCACGUGCAGAGCUGUGACCACCUUGGGGAGCAGGGACACGGUGACUGCCACCUGAGGGGUGGAAGCCUGAGGAAUCGCCUCCAGCCACAUUCUGGAAGCUGCUGGCUCUUCCAGAGAGGAUGGGGGGCACGCCCCUCAGAGGUCAGGAAGCCCACAGGCUUCGUGCGAGGCCCCAGACCCACGUCACUGCCAAGGACAGAGAAGCCAGGCGGUCUCCUGGGCACCAGGGAAUCCCACACCCUCCAGGACCCCGGGGGCCCCUCGUGCGUAACCUGGAAAAGGGAGAUUUAAUUUCCCAAUAUUGGUUCAUUAGUUCUAACAAAUGUACCGUUAUGAGUACAAGAGGUUAAAAACAGGGGAAUUUGUUAGGGGUUUAUGGGAACCCCUUUGCAUUAUCUUUGUGAUUUUUCUGCAAAUCUGAAACUGGGUCUAAGAAGUAAAGUUUACUAAAGCAUAAGAACAAGCAAAUAAAUACGUCUGUUAGAAUGAUUCCCUGGAGGUGAUAAAGCAUGUGCAUUGGGGGGCAGGGGGGCUGAGAAGCAGCAGGCAGGGGGGCGGGGGUGAGCGGCCCUGCCUUGGCUGGGGAAGGGGAGCAGGCAGAGACCUUGGCCCAGAGAUACGCAACAAACACCGAAAAGGAACUUUUCCAAAGAAGGGUCUUAGAAUCUGACCCUACCAGAAGGGGCUGGGGCUGGGUCCCCUGAGAUUUCCCGGAACGGUUGAUCCUGAC